rnacentral:rRNA from 1 species
UACCAGCACCCCGAGUGGUUGGGACGAUUAUUGGGCCUAAAGCAUCCGUAGCCGGUCCUACAAGUCUUCCGUUAAAUCCACCUGCUUAACAGAAUGGGCUGCGGAAGAUACUAUAGGGCUAGGAGGCGGGAGAGGCAAGCGGUACUCAGUGGGUAGGGGUAAAAUCCUCUGAUCCAUUGAAGACCACCAGUGGCGAAGGCGGCUUGCCAGAACGCGCUCGACGGUGAGGGAUGAAAGCUGGGGGAGCAAACCGG